AUUGAACGCUGGCGGCAGGCCUAACACAUGCAAGUCGAACGGUAACAGGGAUCAGCUUGCUGAUUCGCUGACGAGUGGCGGACGGGUGAGUAAUGUCUGGGAAACUGCAUGAUGGAGGGGGAUAACUACUGGAAACGGUAGCUAAUACCGCAUAACGUCGCAAGACCAAAGAGGGGGACCUUCGGGCCUCUUGCCAUCGGAUGUGCCCAGAUGGGAUUAGCUAGUAGGUGGGGUAACGGCUCACCUAGGCGACGAUCCCUAGCUGGUCUGAGAGGAUGACCAGCCACACUGGAACUGAGACACGGUCCAGACUCCUACGGGAGGCAGCAGUGGGGAAUAUUGCACAAUGGGCGCAAGCCUGAUGCAGCCAUGCCGCGUGUAUGAAGAAGGCCUUCGGGUUGUAAAGUACUUUCAGCGGGGAGGAAGGGAGUAAAGUUAAUACCUUUGCUCAUUGACGUUACCCGCAGAAGAAGCACCGGCUAACUCCGUG
rnacentral:rRNA from 1 species